CGGGUUGUAGCUCACUGGUAGAGCACUUGCCUAGCAUGUGUGAGGCACUGGGUUCAAUUCUCAGCAUCACGU
rnacentral:tRNA from 1 species